rnacentral:rRNA from 1 species
ACGUAGGUCACAAGCGUUGUCCGGAAUUACUGGGUGUAAAGGGAGCGCAGGCGGGAGAACAAGUUGGAAGUGAAAUCCAUGGGCUCAACCUAUGAACUGCUUUCAAAACUGUUUUUCUUGAGUAGUGCAGAGGUAGGCGGAAUUCCCGGUGUAGCGGUGGAAUGCGUAGAUAUCGGGAGGAACACCAGUGGCGAAGGCGGCCUACUGGGCACCAACUGACGCUGAGGCUCGAAAGUGUGGGUAGCAAACAG